UAGAUGUUAUGCUUGGAAAUGAGCGACUAUUAUUAAAAGAACAAGGUAGUGAAAACUUUAGACAUCCAGGAGAACUUAAAGAAUGGUGAAAAUCUGGUAACAAUAAGUCUCACUUCCUAUUAAACUGUUAACUCACUGAUCGUGACUCAUUUAUGUUAGUGAAUGGCAUCUGUCUACUUAUUUCUUUUACCAGACAGUAAAAAGUGGUAGUAAGAAAAUAAUAAUAACAAGCAAGACUAAAUGAUAUACUUUACUAUUAAGCAGUGAAUCCAUUCUCA
rnacentral:lncRNA from 1 species